rnacentral:rRNA from 1 species
UGGGGGAUAUUGCACAAUGGGCGAAAGCCUGAUGCAGCGACGCCGCGUGGGGUAUGAAGGCUUUCGGGUUGUAAACCUCUUUCGCUAUCGAACAAGGCCCGCUUAGGGUGGGUUGAGGGUAGGUGGAGAAGAAGCGCCGGCUAACUACGUGCCAGCAGCCGCGGUAAUACGUAGGGCGCGAGCGUUGUCCGGAAUUAUUGGGCGUAAAGGGCUUGUAGGCGGCUUGUUGCGCCUGCUGUGAAAACGCGGGGCUUAACUUCGCGCGUGCAGUGGGUACGGGCAGGCUUGAGUGUGGUAGGGGUGACUGGAAUUCCAGGUGUAGCGGUGGAAUGCGCAGAUAUCUGGAGGAACACCGAUGGCGAAGGCAGGUCACUGGUCCAUUACUGACGCUGAGGAGCGAAAGCAUGGGUAGCGAACAGG